rnacentral:rRNA from 1 species
UACGUAGGGUCCGAGCGUUGUCCGGAGUUACUGGGCGUAAAGGGCGCGCAGGCGGCGGUGCUGGCCCGGCGUGAAAGCCCCCGGCUCAACCGGGGAGGGUCGUCGGGGACCGCACCGCUUGAGGGCGGUAGGGGCCGGUGGAAUGCCUGGUGUAGUGGUGAAAUGCGUAGAGAUCAGGCAGAACACCUGGGGCGAAGGCGGCCGGCUGGGCCGACCCUGACGCUGAGGCGCGAAAGCGUGGGGAGCGAACAGG